AUUGAACGCUGGCGGCAGGCCUAACACAUGCAAGUCGAGCGGAGCGGCGGACGGGUGAGUAUUGACCAGGAAUCUGCCUGGUAGUGGGGGAUAAAGUCCGGUCACGGGCGCUAAUACCGCAUACUAUCAGAUGAGCCUAGGUCGGAUUAGCUAGUUGGUGGGGUAAAGGCCUACCAAGGCGACGACUCGUACCUGGUCUGAGAGGAUGAUCAGUCACACUGGAACUGAUACACGGUCCAGCCUCCUACGGGAGGCAGCAGUGGGGAAUAUUGGACAAUUGGCGAAAGCCGGAUCCAGCCAUGCCGCGUGUAUGAAGAAGGUCUUCGGAUUGUAAAGCACUUUAAGUUGGGAGGCGUUACCAACAGAAUAAGCACCGGCUAACUUCGUGCCAGCCGCCGCGGUAAUAC
rnacentral:rRNA from 1 species